rnacentral:snoRNA from 8 species
GUGCCCUUUUAAGGUUCGCAGUGCCUUAGGAGGCUAACACAGAAGGGUAAAGACAGUCUCCGUAAAAUCCAGAGAAGAGACUGUGGAACUCCUCUUUGGAUCCUGGCUGGAGUCACAGCU